CACAAUCGAUUGUUGAACUUUGUCAAUCGAUUGUUGAACGUACACAAUCGAUUGUUAGGCAGUUUUAAUGCGAAAUAUUAGAUAAUCGACUAACUGUUAGGUUAGUCGAUUAUCGCUACUGGAAAAUAAAAAUAUUAUUGAAAUCUGAGCAUAUUGAAACAUUCUAAAGAACUAAUACUAACAUUAUAUCAUAAACUAACUAAUACGAGCUGNN
rnacentral:lncRNA from 1 species